UACGGGGGGUGCAAGCGUUGCUCGGAAUCACUGGGCGUAAAGCGUCCGCAGGCGGCUUGGUAAGUCGGGUGUGAAAGCCCGGGGCUCAACCCCGGAACUGCAUUCGAAACUGCCUGGCUCGAGUACGGGAGAGGUUCGUGGAAUUCCUGGUGUAGCGGUGAAAUGCGCAGAUAUCAGGAGGAACACCGAUGGCGAAGGCAGGUCUCUGGGCAUUAACUGACGCUGAGGAGCGAAAGCAUGGGGAGCGAACAGG
rnacentral:rRNA from 1 species